UCUGNUCUGUCACUGACGCUGAGGCUCGAAAGCGUGGGUAGCGAACAGGAUUAGAUACCNUGGUAGUCCACGCCGUAAACGCUGAGUGCUAGGUGUUAGGUCCUUUCCGGGACUUAGUGCCGACGCUAACGCAUUAAGCACUCCGCCUGGGGAGUACGACCGCAAGGUUGAAACUCAAAGGAAUUGACGGGGGCCCGCACAAGCGGUGGAGCAUGUGGUUUAAUUCGAAGCAACGCGAAGAACCUUACCAGGUCUUGACAUCCCGAUGCCCGCUCUAGAGAUAGAGUUUUACUUUUUGUACAUCGGAGACAGGUGGUGCAUGGUUGUCGUCAGCUCGUGUCGUGAGAUGUUGGGUUAANNNNCGCAACGAGCGCAACCCUUAUUGUUAGUUGCCAUCAUUAAGUUGGGCACUCUAGCGAGACUGCCGGUAAUAAACCGGAGGAAGGUGGGGAUGACGUCAAAUCAUCAUGCCCCUUAUGACCUGGGCUACACACGUGCUACAAUGGUUGGUACAACGAGUCGCAAGCCGGUGACGGCAAGCUAAUCUCUGAAAGCCAAUCUCAGUUCGGAUUGUAGGCUGCAACUCGCCUACAUGAAGUCGGAAUCGCUAGUAAUCGCGGAUCAGCACGCCGCGGUGAAUACGUUCCCGGGCCU
rnacentral:rRNA from 1 species